GACACUGCACGAUAAUGAAACCUUUAGUUAAAGUCGAUUAAUAUUUCUGUUUUUAUUAAAUAAAUAUUCUAUGUUAAAUGGGCUCUAAACAGGCAAUUUCGGUCCCGGACGCAGCACUGGAAGAAGCACUUUACUUUCAUCUUUUAUAUCUUUAUUUACUUUUAUUAUGUUAUUUUUGGCGGAGGCGCGUAAGGCGCGUGUCCGUCCCUCGAAUGCUUUGUGAUCACGUGAUUAUUCAAACGGGAGACGCGCGAUCUGGAUUAACCGCUAUUCUCCUCAGACGUGGUAUUAUGAGAUCCCUUUCUUGGUGUGUCUUGAUGUUUUAUAUUGGCUAAAGACAAGAUAUAUCUGCAAAUGCCGGUUCCAUGUCACAUGGCUUAUUCGAGACUAGAUCCAUAAAAAAAUCUGCAGGUGAGUGGUCAUCAUCAUGAGAAAUGUGUUUGCUCACUGCAAUGUUUAAUAGCAGGUUGCAAAACAACUUCAUAGGUGCAUACCACCACCUACUGUAUCAGGAGCCCCAUAUAGUCUAUAUGUGCCCUCAUGCUGUGCACCCGAUACAGUAGGUGGCAACCCGCUAUUAAACAUUAGAUGAAUAAGAAGGUAAUGUGAAUGCGCGUAUUGCUCUGGGGAUAGUGUUGUAUUAAAGGUUAAAAAAAAAUUAUAAAUACUGUUCGGUUUUUCACACAAACCAAUUGUUUCAUGUCUUAGUAUAUUAAAGUGUUGUCAUGAGCCACAUGGUUUAAUUUGGAUUUGUUUGUGCAUGUUUUUUUAUUUCUAUCAGAUUUUGUUACCAUCAACUUGCAUUAUACAACUGACAGACUGAAACGGUUGGACACAAAAAUCUACAUUUGUGUUCCACUGGAGAAACAAAGUCACCUACAUCUUGGAUGGCCUGGGGACUACCUGACCUGUUCCUGUUAAGAGCUAGUCACUCUUUGUGGAAUGUUCCUGGCCCAUUUUUUUCCAAGUUUUUACAAAAGUUUUUUCAAUGACCUCAAAAUUGAUGUGUAAAAAUAAUAAUAAACUUGAAUUUGUUUAAA